AGUUGUGAACAUCCAGAGCACGAUACAUCCAUGCAGACACAGAAAGGAAGUAAUGACUUGGUUGUGAACAUCGAGAGCAAGAUAUAUCAAUGCUGAAACAGAAAGGCAGAAAUGACUAUGCUGUGAACACUCAGAGCAAGAUAUAUCCAUGCUGACACAGAAAGGCAAUAAUGACUGUGUUGUGAACAACCAGAGCACAAUACAUCCAUGCUGACACAGAAAGGCAGUAAUGACUUGGUUGUGAACAACCAGAGCACAAUACAUCAAUGCUGACACAGAAAGGCAGUAAUGACUUGGUUGUGAACACAGAACACGAUACACCCAUGCUGACACAGAAAGGCAGUAAUUACUUGGCUGUGAACACCGAGCACAAUACAUCCAUGCGGAAACAGAAAGGCAGUCAUGACUAUGCUGUGAACACCCGGAGCAAGAUAUAUCCAUGCUGACGCAGAAAGGCAGUAAUGAAUAUGCAGUGAACACCCAGAGCAAGAUAUAUCCAUGCUGACACAGAAAGGCAGUAAUGACUAUGCUGUGAACACCCAGAGCAAGAUAUAUCCAUGCUGACACAGAAAGGCAGAAAUGACUAUGCAGUGAACACCCAUAGAAAGAUAUAUCCAUGCUGACACAGAAAGGCAGAAAUGACUAUGCAGUGAACACCUACAGCAAGAUAUAUCCAUGCUGACACAGAAAGGCAGUAAUGACUAUGCAGUGAACACCCAGAGCAAGAUAUAUCCAUGCUGACACAGAAAGUCAGAAAUGACUAUACUGUGAUCACCCAGAGCACAAUACAUCCAUGCUGACACAGAAAGGCAGUAAUGACUUGGUUGUGAACACCCAGAGCAAGAUAUACCCAUGCUGACACAGAAAGGCAGUAAUGACUUGGCUGUGAACACAGAACACGAUACACCCAUGCUGACAAAGAAAGACAGUAAUGACUUGGCUGUGAACACAGAACACGAUACACCCAUGCUGACACAGAAAGGCAGUAAUGACUUGGCUAUGAACACAGAGCACAAUACAUCCAUGCUGACACAGAAAGGCAGUAUUGACUUGGCUGUAAACACAGAGCAUCAUACAUCCAUGCUACCACAGAAAGGCAGUAAUGACUUGGCUGUGAACACAGAGCACAAUACAUCCAUGCAGAAACAGUAAGGCAGUCAUGACUAUGCUGUGAAAACCCAGAGCACGAUAUAUCCAUGCUGACACAGAAAGGCAGUAAUGACUAUGCUGUGAACACCAAGAGCAAGAUAUAUCCAUGCUGUCACAGAAAGGCAGUAAUGACUAUGCUGUGAACACCCAAAGCAAGAUAUAUCCAUGCUGACACAGAAAGGCAGUAAUGACAAUGCUGUGAACACCCAGAGCACAAUACAUCCAUGCUGACACAGAAAGGCAGCAAUGACUUGGUUGUGAACACCCAGAGCACAAUACAUCCAUGCUGACACAGAAAGGCAGUAAUGACUUGGUUGUGAACACCCAGAGCAAGAUAUACCCAUGCUGACACAGAAAGGCAGUAAUGACUUGGCUGUGAACACAGAACACGAUACACCCAUGCUGACAAAGAAAGACAGUAAUGACUUGGCUGUGAACACAGAACACGAUACACCCAUGCUGACACAGAAAGGCAGUAAUGACUUGGCUAUGAACACAGAGCACAAUACAUCCAUGCUGACACAGAAAGGCAGUAUUGACUUGGCUGUAAACACAGAGCAUCAUACAUCCAUGCUACCACAGAAAGGCAGUAAUGACUUGGCUGUGAACACAGAGCACAAUACAUCCAUGCAGAAACAGUAAGGCAGUCAUGACUAUGCUGUGAAAACCCAGAGCACGAUAUAUCCAUGCUGACACAGAAAGGCAGUAAUGACUAUGCUGUGAACACCAAGAGCAAGAUAUAUCCAUGCUGUCACAGAAAGGCAGUAAUGACUAUGCUGUGAACACCCAAAGCAAGAUAUAUCCAUGCUGACACAGAAAGGCAGUAAUGACAAUGCUGUGAACACCCAGAGCACAAUACAUCCAUGCUGACACAGAAAGGCAGCAAUGACUUGGUUGUGAACACCCAGAGCAAGAUAUAUCCAUGCUGACACAGAAAAGAAGUAAUGACUUGGCCGGUACACAGAACACGAUACACCCAUGCUGACACAGAAAGGCAGUAAUGACUUGGCUGUGAACACAGAGCACCAUAUGUCCAUGCUGACACAGAAAGGCAGUACUGACUUGGCUGUGAACACAGAGCUUAAUACAUCCAUGCUGACACAAAAAGGCAGUUAUGACUUGACUGUGAACACAAAGCACAAAACAUCCAUGCUGACACAGAAAGUCAGUUAUGACAUGGUUGUGAACACAGAGCACAAUACAUCCUUGUUGACACAGAAAGGCAGUAACGACUAUGCUGUGAACUCAGAGCACGAUACAUCUAUGCUGACACAGAAAGGCAGUAAUGACUUGGAUGUAAACACCCAGAGUACAAUACAUACAUGCUAACACAGAAAGGCAGUAAAGACUUGGUUGUUAACACCCAGAGCACAAUACAUCCAUGGGACACAGAAAGGCAGUAAAGACUUUGUUGUAAACACUAAGAGAUCCAUACAUCCAUUGGAUGUGCCACAGACGCAAAUUACGUCCACUAUUGUAAACAAGGUGCUUUAAGUGAACACGUCUGGUUUUGUUAUGUGGACUUAGCACUCCAAUCCCAAAAGGCCUCGCAUUGAAUUGAUGCAAGAGAAGGCUUUGAAAAAUAACAGCAGUUUUGUUGUGUGGUCCAGGACGCCAUUGGACUCGCAACCUGAAGAAAGCAGAACUCAAACUCGUCUCUUAGCAAUAUCAGCAAGGCCAGCAUGUCAUCUCAGCUUCUAGAGCUUCAGUGAACUUAACUAGCAAACAUGACAAACGUCAUUGAAUUGAAAGGUGAUGACAACCCCCUUCUUGCACAAACACUACAACUUGCUUAAGAAAUUCAGCACGAAGAGGUCUUGCGUCAGACUACCAAGCCUCCUAUCAAUAUCUCCUCCCAUGUUGGCUACAUCAACACUUCCAACAGCAGAGCCUUGGUGAGUUUGACUUCCGUCUCAGCAUCAAUGUCGCUUAGCAACAAUUGGAUGAUGGGCGUCGACAAAUUAGGCCGGACAAGUCGCUCAAAUAAAGGAUCUGAUCCAACAAGUAGAGCAGGCGUUGCGUGACACGUCCGUUAAUGUGACUGACCUCAAUAUGUUGUUCUCGAAUAAUGUGAACCUCAGGCCUGGAGAGCAGCAUGCGAUUGACGCCAUUCAACAACAGUUGUUGUCGGCAGUUCUCGGGUUUGGGGUGGCAACUUUGGCAACUCGAUCCAUCUCUGUCUAUGGCCCAGUCGCAGCAGCAGCAACAAGAACAAUGAAGCCGGUUCCUACAGGAUCCCAUGCAGUCAUAGAUUGGUACCCAGCUGAACAACAGGCUGUCUGGUAAGCUGGGCCCGGAUAGGUGUAGCCAGUCUAAAGCUGGGGCUCCAAACUUUCCUGCCAAGUGGACUGAUAUUACCUCUUCUACAAGGGACAUAUGUCAGUGAUGCGCAAAGAGCUGGUUUUCUGUUCACAGAGAAAAAUCCUAACAACUCCAACUCAGCCACUACAUCUCAAUAGACAACCCGAAUAUCAAGGCGUUAAGCUUGUUCUGGAUGCAGUUACAGUCACAGCUUUCAAGCCAGCAGCUGUCGAUGUAUUGAGAUUUUCUCCUCUCCAUGUUACCUGACCUGCUGCCUGUGAACACCCUGCACAUAGAACCUUUAUCCCAAUCCAUGUAAUUAAACUGUCAAUCAAAAAAGAUAGCCUGGUACAGCACUUGUCAUUAGAUUGACGCCAUGCAUGCCUUUGAAGGUCAUUUGUACACACAGUAACAAUUUAAGCAUGAUAGUCAAUAAGUGCCUGCGUUGGCUUCUUAAAAGACUCGCAGACCUGAGCAUUUACGGUGGAAUUCCACAUCUUGAAAUAUUGGGAAGGCAGGAAAACACCUGACAAUAUUUAACUUAUUUAUUGUAUAAACAAGACAUGCUUAUUUUUAGUUUUUGCCUAUAAAAUAGCAAUAUGUGCUAGGUAACAUAAUUGAUCAAAACGGUUCAUAAUUGUGAUGCUUCUAUUUUGAUAUGUCUGUCAUUCUGUCUGUGAACAUUUCUCAUCAGUUUGCUCUUUUGAGGCAGUAUUUUGUCGAGAAUUUCAUGUAGUGAUGUAAUAGUAAAAUAUCAAAUAAUAAUUUGAUUUAUUCAAACUAUAUUAACCUUCUGUAAAUUAUCAAUUUAUUUAUUGACAACAUAUACUUUGUUUAAUAUUAACAAUAGUUAAGCGCGUUAUAAAAAUUGUGUGAAUGUACAUGCAUAAUAUUGCGAUAAUUGAUGCACACAUUAAUGAAACUAUUUAAAUAAAGUGGAAUUUAGAAGUGCAUCUUAAUUGUAAUGGAGUUUAUUUAAUUUUUUAAAAAAGGAUGCUUUCUUUGUUGAAAAGUAAUUCCUCCACAAGUAAUUUUGUUUCAAAGUGAGUAUUUUCAUGAAAAAUGAUUCAUAUUAAACAUCAUUUACAUAUCAGGCAAUCAGGCAAUAGAGAAAAAUAAUUGCUUUGGAUGAAUGAGCACAUUAACCUGUAUAGUAAAUUAAGACAUGCAGAAUAUCAGAUUAUUAACAUAAUAAUAUACUUUAAGCAUUAGAAACACCUUGUUUUAUGUCAAGCUUUUCAGUUAAUAUAACUAAGCAACUAUUAUCUGGAAAUUUGGAAAACAGUGAAGAACGAAUCAAGGGAGAGCAACUGUGAUAUACUGAAUAAAAGUCGUCUCCCUUGUUGAGUAUAAUUGUACCUCUCAACGUAACAACAACAUUGAAUCUUUUUUUUUAAUUUUUCCACACUAUAAACUUUAUACUAUAUUCAUUCAAUAAUCACUAAAGAAAUAUGGUUUGCAUAAUUGUUUAUUUCUAUGCGUUAUACAUAAUUCACAUAAUUCAGUAUGGCAUCAAUUUAAGUUCAUCAGAUUUUAAUUGCAAAAAUUGGCCAUACAGUGCUAAAAGUUUGGUAUUCUGACUAUUAUUAGUGCAUGUUCUCAUACAAUAUCACGUUGUUUAUUUUAACACAAAAGCAAUAUGUGUUAAUAUAUUAAUUUUUAUUUAUUGACUUGUUGUUGCUUGUUAAGGUGUCUAAUUUUGAAUUAUAGCUGUUAAUUGCUUUGCAUUAAACAUGUCUGCUUUGUUGUUGAACAAUUAUACACAGCUUUUUAUUUGACAAAAAUGUGUAAUAUUGCAAAUUUUUGCUUUCAAUUUUUUAUUUCCAACAAAAAUAUAUUUUGUUUAUUUGUAUGUAUAUUUAGCUAUAAUAAAAUUGUUUAUAUAAUAUAUAAACAACCUACUUAUAAGCAAUAAACUGUAUUGGUAAAAGUAGAUUUAAGGUUCAAAAUCAUGUCUUAAUUUGUUUGAUUAUCCCAAAUUAACAUUUUGCAAAACAAAAACUUUUUGAAUAAAGAACACUUAAUGCAACGUACCACCAGGUCUUUUAACCAUUGAUUGUGUAUCACUAACGAUCAGGGAUUAA